UACGUAGGUGACAAGCGUUGUCCGGAUUUACUGGGCGUAAAGAGCGCGCAGGCGGUCGAUCAAGUCGAGUGUGAAAGCCCCCGGCUCAACUGGGGAGGGUCAUUCGAUACUGAUCGACUCGAAGGCAGGAGGGGGUAGUGGAAUUCCCGGUGUAGUGGUGAAAUGCGUAGAUAUGCGGAGGAACACCGAUGGCGAAGGCAAUCUCCUGGACCUGCACUGACGCUCAUGCACGAAAGCGUGGGGAGCAAACAGG
rnacentral:rRNA from 1 species